AAUGAACGUUGGCGGCAUGGAUUAGGCAUGCAAGUCGAGCGAGAAGUGUAGCAAUACACGGAAAGCGGCGGAAGGGAGAGUAAUACGUGGGAAUCUGCCCUUAGACCUGGAUAGCAGCGGGAAACUGCUGGUAAUACCAGAUAAUGUCUAUGGACCAAAGGUGUGAUUCCGUCUAGGGAUGAGCCCACGUCCUAUUAGCUAGUUGGUAGGGUAAUGGCCUACCAAGGCGAUGAUGGGUAGCGGGUGUGAGAGCAUGACCCGCCUCACUGGGACUGAGACACUGCCCAGACACCUACGGGUGGCUGCAGUCGAGAAUCUUCGGCAAUGGGCGCAAGCCUGACCGAGCGAUGCCGCGUGCGGGAUGAAGGCCUUCGGGUUGUAAACCGCUGUCGAGGGGGAGCAACUUCCAUAGAGUUAUCUUUACGGAUUGAGUGAUCCCUGGAGGAAGGACGGGCUAAGUUCGUGCCAGCCGCCGCAGUAACAC
rnacentral:rRNA from 1 species